rnacentral:rRNA from 1 species
UGCCAGCCGCCGCGGUAAUACGUAGGGUGCGAGCGUUGUUCGGAAUUACUGGGCGUAAAGGGUGUGUAGGCGGACUAGUCAGCCAGGGGUGAAAGCCCGGAGCUCAACUCCGGAACUGCUCUUGGAACUGCUAGUCUAGAGAGGGUCAGAGGCCAACGGAAUUCCAGGUGUAGAGGUGAAAUUCGUAGAUAUCUGGAGGAACACCGGUGGCGAAAGCGGUUGGCUGGGGCCAUUCUGACGCUGAUGCACGAAAGCGUGGGGAGCAAACAGGAUUAGAUA